GGUUCGGGAGAGACCCUUGGUAAAAGACCGGGGGAACCGAAGGGGCAAAACUCUCAGGUAAAAGAACCGGAU
rnacentral:ncRNA from 1 species